rnacentral:rRNA from 1 species
UGGGGAAUAUUGGGCAAUGGGGGAAACCCUGACCCAGCAACGCCGCGUGAGGGAAGAAGGUUUUCGGAUUGUAAACCUCUGUCGCAGGGGACGAAGAAUGACGGUACCCUGUAAGAAAGCCCCGGCUAACUACGUGCCAGCAGCCGCGGUAAUACGUAGGGGGCGAGCGUUGUCCGGAAUUACUGGGCGUAAAGGGUGCGUAGGCGGUAAAUUAAGUUGGAUGUGAAACCCCCGGGCUUAACUUGGGGACUGCAUUCAAAACUGGUUUACUAGAGUGCAGGAGAGGGAAGCGGAAUUCCUAGUGUAGCGGUGAAAUGCGUAGAUAUUAGGAGGAACACCAGUGGCGAAGGCGGCUUUCUGGACUGUAACUGACGCUGAGGCACGAAAGCGUGGGGGAGCAAACAGGAUUAGAUACCC